AUAAACGCUGGCGGCGUGCCUAACACAUGCAAGUCGAACGCCCUGCUUUCGGGCAGGGAGUGGCGGACGGGUGAGGAACACGUGGGUCAUCUACCCAAAGGGUGAAGAAUACCGGCGAGAAAUCGCCGACAAGACCGCAUAGCCUCGGCAACGAGGAAAGUCGCAAGACGCCUAUGGAUGAGCCUGCGUCCGAUUAGCUAGCUGGUGGGGUAAAAGCCUACCAGGGCGACGAUCGGUAGCUGGUCUGAGAGGACGAUCAGCCACACUGGGAUUGAGAACGGCCAGACUCCUACGGGGGGCAGCAGUGAGGAAUUUUCGUCAAUGGGGGAAACCCUGAACGAGUAACGCCGCGUGCAGGAAGAAGGUUUCGGAUCGUAAACUGCUUUUCUGUGGGAAGAGAAUGGACGGUACCACAGGAAGAAGCCCCGGCUAACUACGUGCCAGCAGCCGCGGUAAUACGUAGGGGGCGAGCGUUGUCCGGAGUUACUGGGCCGUAAAGGGCGUGCAGGCGGUGCGGUAAGUUUAGAGUGACAGUCUUCGGCUUAACUGGAGAAGGCCUCUGAAAACUGCCGGACUUGAGGGCCAGAGAGGGACAUAGAAUUCCGGUGGAGUGGUGAAAUGCGUAGAUAUCCGGAGGAAUACCAAAGGCGAAGGCAGUGUCCUGGCUGGCAUCUGACGCUGAGGCGCGAAAGCUAGGGGAGCGAACAGGAUUAGAUACCCUGGUAGUCCUAGCCGUAAACGAUGACCACUAGAUGUGCGGGGUGGUAUCGACCCCCUGCGUGUCGGAGAUAACUUUUUAAGUGGUCCGCCUGGGGAGUACGGUCGCAAGAUUAAAACUCAAAGGAAUUGAAGGGGACCCGCACAAGCAGCGGAGCGUGUGGUUUAAUUCGAUGCGACGCGAAGAACCUUACCAGGGUUUGACAUGGACCUGACACUCUGAGAGAUCAGAUUGCCUUCGGGACAGGUUCACAGGUGCUGCAUGGCUGUCGUCAGCUCGUGCCGUGAGGUGUUGGGUUAAGUCCCGCAACGAGCGCAACCCCUAUCGUCAGUUGCCAUUAGUUGGCACUGCUGUGGAGACUGCCGCGAUGCACGCUGGAGGAAGGUGGGGAUGACGUUCAAGUCCGCACGGCCCUUACAUGUCCGGGCGACACACACGUGCUACAAUGGCGGUACAAAGGAAGUUGCGAAACCCGUGAGGGGGAGCCAAUCCGACAUAAAGCCGAUCUCAGUUCGGAUUGCAGCUGCAACUCCGCCUGCAUGAAGGUGGAGUCGCUAGUAACCGUCGGAUCAGCUACACUCGGUGAAUACGUUCCCGGGCCUGUACACACCGCCCGUCAGCACCACGGGAAGUCGUUGUCAACACCUGAUUGCCGUGAGCUAACCCGUCAGGGAGGCAGGCGUCCGAGGGAUGGGUCGGGUGACUGGGGUG
rnacentral:rRNA from 1 species